GAAAUCGUACCCCAAACCGACACAGGUGGUCAGGUAGAGAAUACCAAGGCGCUUGAGAGAACUCGGGUGAAGGAACUAGGCAAAAUGGUGCCGUAACUUCGGGAGAAGGCACGCUGAUAUGUAGGUGAAGUGAUUUACUCAUGGAGCUGAAAUCAGUCGAAGAUACCAGCUGGCUGCAACUGUUUAUUAAAAACACAGCACUGUGCAAACACGAAAGUGGACGUAUACGGUGUGACGCCUGCCCGGUGCCGGAAGGUUAAUUGAUGGGGUUAUCCGUAAGGAGAAGCUCUUGAUCGAAGCCCCGGUAAACGGCGGCCGUAACUAUAACGGUCCUAAGGUAGCGAAAUUCCUUGUCGGGUAAGUUCCGACCUGCACGAAUGGCGUAAUGAUGGCCAGGCUGUCUCCACCCGAGACUCAGUGAAAUUGAACUCGCUGUGAAGAUGCAGUGUACCCGCGGCAAGACGGAAAGACCCCGUGAACCUUUACUAUAGCUUGACACUGAACACUGGUCCUUGAUGUGUAGGAUAGGUGGGAGGCUUUGAAGUGUGGACGCCAGUCUGCAUGGAGCCAUCCUUGAAAUACCACCCUUUAAUGGCUGGUGUUCUAACGUGGACCCGUAAUCCGGGUUGCGGACAGUGUCUGGUGGGUAGUUUGACUGGGGCGGUCUCCUCCUAAAGAGUAACGGAGGAGCACGAAGGUUAGCUAAUCCUGGUCGGACAUCAGGAGGUUAGUGCAAAGGCAUAAGCUAGCUUGACUGCGAGAGUGACGGCUCGAGCAGGUGCGAAAGCAGGUCUUAGUGAUCCGGUGGUUCUGAAUGGAAGGGCCAUCGCUCAACGGAUAAAAGGUACUCCGGGGAUAACAGGCUGAUACCGCCCAAGAGUUCAUAUCGACGGCGGUGUUUGGCACCUCGAUGUCGGCUCAUCACAUCCUGGGGCUGAAGUAGGUCCCAAGGGUAUGGCUGUUCGCCAUUUAAAGUGGUACGCGAGCUGGGUUUAGAACGUCGUGAGACAGUUCGGUCCCUAUCUGCCGUGGGCGCUGGAGAAUUGAGGGGGGCUGCUCCUAGUACGAGAGGACCGGAGUGGACGCAUCACUGGUGUUCGGGUUGUCAUGCCAAUGGCAUUGCCCGGUAGCUAAAUGCGGAAGAGAUAAGUGCUGAAAGCAUCUAAGCACGAAACUUGCCCCG
rnacentral:rRNA from 1 species